rnacentral:misc_RNA from 1 species
CACGGCCAUUGUCUAUCCUCGGCAUUUGAUCUUGAGUUCAGUUUUGCUUAUUUGUUGAUCGUUUCACUGUUCACACACAUUCCUGAUCGUGAUAACAAAAGAUUAAAACAAGGGGAAGUACUACCGUUAGGAGCAUGUCGACGCCGAAAAGAAUUUGCAUCAUAGGGUCAGGAAAUUGGGGCUCUGUUAUCGCAAAAAUAGUCGGAAACAAUGUGAAGGACAAUGGUAAUUUUGUAACAGAAGUGAAGAUGUAUGUGUAUGAAGAAAUGAUAAAUGGACGCAAACUCACAGAAAUCCUCAAUACAGAUCAUGAAAAUGUGAAAUAUCUACCAGGACACAAAAUACCAGAAAAUGUCAUAGCCAUAGCUGAUCCAAAGGAAGCUGCCAAAGAUGCCGACAUCUUAGUCUGGGUUUUACCUCAUCAGUUUGUUAGGGGAAUAUGCAAAGCUCUAGCUGGUAGUGUAAAAAAAGACUGCAUCGCUAUAUCACUUAUAAAAGGUUUAGAUAUCAGUGAAAAAGGUCUAGACUUGAUCUCUAAUGUGAUUCGGGAACAACUGGGAAUAGAAUGUAGUGUAUUAAUGGGGGCUAACAUCGCACCAGAAGUCGCAAAUGAGAAUUACUGUGAAGCAACUAUAGGUUGUAAAAAUCGUGAAAUGGGUCUCUUACUAAAGAGCAUGGUCCAAACUCCAUACUUCAGAAUAGUUGUAAUAGAUGAUGAACAUACUGUUGAAUUAUGUGGUGCUUUGAAGAAUAUUGUAGCUGUUGGUGCAGGGUUUGUGGAUGGGCUAGGCUAUGGGGAUAAUACAAAGGCAGCUGUCAUCAGGCUAGGACUUAUGGAGAUGGUUAAAUUUGCAGAGACAUUUUAUCCAGGCUCAAAAAUGGACACAUUCUUAGAGAGUUGUGGAGUUGCUGACUUGGUUACCACAUGUUACAGUGGAAGAAAUAGGAGAAUUGCAGAGCAAGUUGUCAAAACAGGAAAAGAUAUCAAAACCUUAGAGAAGGAGUUACUGAAUGGUCAGAGUCUGCAAGGUCCACCUACAGCUGCUGAGGUUAACACAAUGCUCUGUCAAAAAAAUAUGGAAGAAAAGUACCCUCUCUUCACAGCAGUGCACAAGAUUUGCAAGGGAGAGUUAAAACCAAUAGCCUUCAUAGACUGUCUCAAGAAUCAUCCAGAGCACUUAGAUGAUGACAUGCCAAGCCCUGCUCAGCUAUAACCAGAUACCAGCAUGCAUAGAUUUGUUUAAUUUAGGCAUUUUUGUAACAUAUAGUGUCUAAUUUACUUACAAAAAUCAGCUUGAUGCACUAACAAAUAAACUAUUGCCGAAAUUAUAGACAAUCCUUUGAAUUGAUAGAAACUGUUUUGAACCGUAUCACACCUAACCAUUGACAAUGUACAAUGACAAAAUAUAUGGGUGUACACUUUGGCUGUACAUUGUUUUAUAUUAAUGAUCUGAAGCAGAAACUGUGAUGUUGGUUUAAAAAAUUUAUCUGGGGAAUCUUAUGCAGUAUUCUAUGUUUAAUUUCAUUUGCAUGCUUUCAUGUUCAUGUGGCAAGAUUUUAACUUUGUAAUUAUGUAAAAAAUGAAUAUAACCAAUAUUUUGAUCAAUUAUGUGGAUAAAGCUUUUAAAACCUACAUCACAAUUUAUUCUUCAAAUCGUUUAUGUAGAGCUAAAGUGUGCCCCUGUAUAUUUUGUCACUGUAUGUUGUCCAUGGUUAGGUGUGUUUGUAUUUAUAAUAAAUAACUAGUCAGUAUUACAACUAUGGGAUUCAAGACAAGAAUUUUGACGAAUGAACUAAAAGGAAGCUUUAAAUGGUAUGUUGUUCAGCAUGUUUAUUUUCUCUAUUUUUGUGUGUCAGCUCUCAAUUGUGUUUGUAGUAAAACAUCUAUAUGUGAACAACUCAAGACAUUUUGACAUUGAUGGUUUCAAUUGUUUCCCAAGUGUUCAAAUUAGAUCAGUUGUAAUGUCUAUGUGUUGCAGUAAUGAAAUCCAAAUCAUUCUCCAAACCUUUUGUUCAUCGUGUUGCUUCUUAUUCUCUGCAGACCCUUGAUUCAGAUCCUGCGAUUGUCAAAAUAAAGUGAUCGACUAGACUCUCUGUUUUUAUCACUCAUUUACUGACACUUUCUGACAAGCUAUCUACAUUUCGAAGCAUCUAAGAUUUGACAGGGGAUCAAGAGUCUGCAGAGACAAGAGGCAUGAUUGCACUGAAUGAAAUACUAGGAGAUUGAUUAUAAUGUAUGUGUAUUCACAUUUGUUUAAGUGCCAGAAUAGAGUCCAGUUUGGUGUUAGUUGGUCAUAAACUUGAGUUAAAACAUGAGCACUUAGUUUAUGGAGUCUAUGGUAAUUGAUUCCUCCCAGUGCAAAGUUUGAUGUUUGUUUUCAUCCUAUACAAUAUAAACAAUGUAAACAUCUUGGUAUAGAUUUAGAUGUAAAAUGUGCCAUAGUCAUGCAUCAGGUUCCAGAAUUAAGCCGCCCACACUUUCCACUUCUGCAACUAUGGUAAGAUGGAGAGGGGUAAAUAAGGGGCUUGAUGCAUGAUUUAGAGUGCCUCUUGAGCGAAAGGUGUUAAGGAAAGCUUUGACAGGGUCCCUUUAUGUACAUGUAAUUUAUGUGUAAUUGGAACUUGAACAGAUUGAAUGCAAUAUUAAUAUUGUUAGUGUCAUAUUAUAUGA